rfam:Glycine soja cultivar W05 scaffold7147_7, whole genome shotgun sequence.
UUCUUAUUGGAUGAUGAAUGACACAUGUCAUAUUCUGAUAGGAUGUCAACUCCAUGAAAGAUGAAAUGAAUUGUUGUUUUCAUUGACCAAUCAGAACAUGACACGUGACAAUCAUCGUUU